rnacentral:lncRNA from 1 species
GGGAAGCCUUGUGGCUCAGAACACUAUGAAUGCCAGAAAGCACGGAGCCAGUAGCCAGCCCACCUUCGCCUGGGUCUUCUGAUGCUGAGACCAGUGCACUUCCAGAACACCAUGCUGAGACUUCACGAGUCAAACCCUGACCCAGAAACACCACAGGAUCCUCAGUUAUUCAAAUAAAGAUCCCCACUCCCUGCCCUGAGCUGGGCAUUCUGAGCAGAAAGCAGACCCCUUUAGAUGCCCAGCUGGAAUCAACUUGGCAGAGCCACACAGAAGGUGUGGAAGAGCUGUUUAUGGAAAGGCAAGAACCCAAUUUGCAAACCCUCCUGUUGGCUUCACAAUAAUUCAUGCUCAUCUGCGUCUAAUAAAAU